GAGUUUGAUCAUGGCUCAGAUUGAACGCUGGCGGCAGGCCUAACACAUGCAAGUCGAGCGGAUGACGGGAGCUUGCUCCUUGAUUCAGCGGCGGACGGGUGAGUAAUGCCUAGGAAUCUGCCUGGUAGUGGGGGACAACGUUUCGAAAGGAACGCUAAUACCGCAUACGUCCUACGGGAGAAAGCAGGGGACCUUCGGGCCUUGCGCUAUCAGAUGAGCCUAGGUCGGAUUAGCUAGUUGGUGGGGUAAUGGCUCACCAAGGCGACGAUCCGUAACUGGUCUGAGAGGAUGAUCAGUCACACUGGAACUGAGACACGGUCCAGACUCCUACGGGAGGCAGCAGUGGGGAAUAUUGGACAAUAGGGCGAAAGCCUGAUCCAGCCAUGCCGCGUGUGUGAAGAAGGUCUUCGGAUUGUAAAGCACUUUAAGUUGGGAGGAAGGGCAGUAAGUUAAUACCUUGCUGUUUUGACGUUACCGACAGAAUAAGCACCGGCUAACUCUGUGCCAGCCGCCG
rnacentral:rRNA from 1 species